UACGUAGGGUGCAAGCGUUGUCCGGAAUUAUUGGGCGUAAAGAGCUCGUAGGCGGUCUGUCGCGUCGGAUGUGAAAACCCAGGGCUCAACCCUGGGCCUGCAUUCGAUACGGGCAGACUAGAGUUCGGUAGGGGAGACUGGAAUUCCUGGUGUAGCGGUGAAAUGCGCAGAUAUCAGGAGGAACACCGGUGGCGAAGGCAGGUCUCUGGGCCACUACUGACGCUGAGAAGCGAAAGCAUGGGGAGCAAACAGG
rnacentral:rRNA from 1 species